rnacentral:rRNA from 1 species
CAGUAGCCGCGGUAAUACGAAGGGUGCAAGCGUUAAUCGGAAUUACUGGGCGUAAAGCGUGCGUAGGCGGUUUGUUAAGUCUGCUGUGAAAUCCCCGGGCUCAACCUGGGAAUGGCAGUGGAUACUGGCAAGCUAGAGUGUGUCAGAGGAUGGUGGAAUUCCCGGUGUAGCGGUGAAAUGCGUAGAGAUCGGGAGGAACAUCAGUGGCGAAGGCGGCCAUCUGGGACAACACUGACGCUGAGGCACGAAAGCGUGGGGAGCAAACAGGAUUAGAUACCCCCGUAGUCCCUGUCUCUUAUAU